AAAUUGAAGAGUUUGAUCAUGGCUCAGAUUGAACGCUGGCGGCAGGCUUAACACAUGCAAGUCGAGCGGUAGCACAGAGAGCUUGCUCUCGGGUGACGAGCGGCGGACGGGUGAGUAAUGUCUGGGAAACUGCCUGAUGGAGGGGGAUAACUACUGGAAACGGUAGCUAAUACCGCAUAAUGUCGCAAGACCAAAGUGGGGGACCUUCGGGCCUCAUGCCAUCAGAUGUGCCCAGAUGGGAUUAGCU
rnacentral:rRNA from 1 species